rfam:Salmo salar isolate Sally breed double haploid chromosome ssa17, whole genome shotgun sequence.
AAGAAAAUGAAAUGUAAGUCGCUCUGGAUAAGAGCGUCUGCUAAAUGACGUAAG